CCUACGGGAGGCAGCAAUGGGGAAUAUUGCACAAUGGUGUGAACCCUGAUGCAGCGACGCCGCGUGGGUGAAGAAGUAUUUCGGUAUGUAAAACUCUCUCAGCAGGGAAGAAAAUGACGGUACCUGACUAAGAAGCCCCGGCUAACUACGUGCCAGCAGCCGCGGUCAUACGUAGGGGGCAAGCGUUAUCCGGAUUUACUGGGUGUAAAUGGUGCGUAGACGGCCAGACAAGUCAGAAGUGAAAGCCCAGGGCUCAACUCUGGGACUGCUUUUGAAACUGCCGGGCUGGAGUGCAGGAGAGGUAAGCGGAAUUCCUAGUGUAGCGGUGAAAUGCGUAGAUAUUAGGAGGAACACCAGUGGCGAAGGCGGCUUACUGGACUGUAACUGACGUUGAGGCGCGAAAGCGUGGGGAGCAAACAGGAUUAGAUACCCUUGUAGUC
rnacentral:rRNA from 1 species